UACGGAGGGAGCUAGCGUUGUUCGGAAUUACUGGGCGUAAAGCGCGCGUAGGCGGCUUUGUAAGUUAGAGGUGAAAGCCCGGCUCAACCCCGGAACUGCCUUUAAGACUGCAUCGCUUGAAUCCGGGAGAGGUGAGUGGAAUUCCGAGUGUAGAGGUGAAAUUCGUAGAUAUUCGGAAGAACACCAGUGGCGAAGGCGGCUCACUGGACCGGUAUUGACGCUGAGGUGCGAAAGCGUGGGGAGCAAACAGG
rnacentral:rRNA from 1 species